GAAAAAGCAAAGAACCACCUCAAGACUCAAGCUUAUGCUCUCAACUUUCAAGAAGAAAUGAAAGGAAAAUGGGUGAGGGAUUCACUUCCACCAAGCAAAGAUAAACAAGAUUUAAGUAAGAGAAGAAGAAAAAUAUGAUCUUUGUCAUUCCAUAGCUCCCAAAAACGUAAAACCCUACAUGGUCUCCAAGAGAGAGUUCAUACAUGCAAAGUGAAAUGAAAAGUGGAGACAAGAAGUGUGUGUCUCGGUCUUGCCAUUCUAAAAUGCCUUCCAAGACUUAAAAUGGUGGGUUCCACCUCUAAGGAAACCCUAGGGUCUAUGCAAAGUGUCCCACACAUUGGGCUUCUACAAUUUUGCCACCAAAAAGGGCCCAAAUGCACUUAAGUUUGAUUAAAGUUUCUAAAAACGAAAUUACAACUUAAUUAAAAGGGAAGUGACUAAAUGUUAAGUCUUGAAUGAUCACGCCAUCUUCCCUAAUGCUCCAAAUGAUGUUUCCAAAAUUUCCCUG
rnacentral:lncRNA from 1 species